UUUCGCAAUGCCCGAAAGGGUGACGAAGCGACGCCGCGUGGGUGAGGAAGGCCUUCGGGUUGUAAAGCCCUGUCAGGAGUUAAGAAAUGUAGGUUCGCUAAUAUCGUAUCUAUUUGACAAAGGCUCCAAAGGAAGCCACGGCUAACUCUGUGCCAGCAGCCGCGGUAAUACAGAGGUGGCAAGCGUUGUUCGGAAUUAUUGGGCGUAAAGAGCACGUAGGUGGAUUUGUAAGUCAGAUGUGAAAGCCUUCUGUUCAACGGGAGAAUUGCAUCUGAAACUACAGACCUUGAGUAUAGGAGGGGAGAAUGGAACUUCUGGUGGAGCGGUGAAAUGCGUAGAUAUCAGAAGGAACGCCGGCGGCGAAAGCGAUUCUCUGGCCUAUUACUGACACUCAGUGUGCGAAAGUUAGGGGAGCAAACGGGAUUAGAUACCCCGGUAGUCCUAGCCGUAAACGAUGGGCACUAAGUAGAGGGGUUUUA
rnacentral:rRNA from 1 species